rnacentral:lncRNA from 1 species
GUAUUUGGUAGCCAUUUAGGACUUCCCAUGUUGCAACAACGGCUAGAUUAUGCUCUGGUUUGAAAGGAAAUAACGAUGAUGGACAUGGUUAUCAAUUGAAGAAAUAUACGUCGAGUGUUGGAAAAGUUGACAGUGAACAUGAGGCCAGUUAUAUUAAUUAGGCAGCUGAAGAUUGACUUGGUUUCUUGGGGCUCAGGACUAUACCUAAGAUUUUUUUUAUUUGCUUAGACCUUAUAUUCUGCAUUGUUUUCUGGAAAUUCAAUAUGUAACCCUCUCUAUCUUAUUUAAGGUGCGCACACGACCACGUGUUUUGGGUGAGUCCGAGUUGGGACAAAGUUGUAGGGCGUGUGAUCAGGUAAUGUUGUAGGUUCUCUUUGUGAUGUUGUUCUUGAAACGUGUAGAUCUCUUCUAAUAAUUGGAGUGAUACUUGCUGGUCAUUAUAAUAAAAU